rnacentral:rRNA from 1 species
GAAACAUCUAAGUACCCCGAGGAAAAGAAAUCAACCGAGAUUCCCCCAGUAGCGGCGAGCGAACGGGGAGGAGCCCAGAGCCUGAAUCAGCAUGUGUGUUAGUGGAAGCGUCUGGAAAGGCGCGCGAUACAGGGUGACAGCCCCGUACACAAAAGCGCAUGUGCUGUGAGCUCGAUGAGUAGGGCGGGACACGUGGUAUCCUGUCUGAAUAUGGGGGGACCAUCCUCCAAGGCUAAAUACUCCUGACUGACCGAUAGUGAACCAGUACCGUGAGGGAAAGGCGAAAAGAACCCCGGCGAGGGGAGUGAAAAAGAACCUGAAACCGUGUACGUACAAGCAGUGGGAGCACAGGUUUACCUGUGUGACUGCGUACCUUUUGUAUAAUGGGUCAGCGACUUAUAUUCUGUAGCAAGGUUAACCGUAUAGGGGAGCCGUAGGGAAACCGAGUCUUAACCGGGCGUUAAGUUGCAGGGUAUAGACCCGAAACCCGGUGAUCUAGCCAUGGGCAGGUUGAAGGUUGGGUAACACUAACUGGAGGACCGAACCGACUAAUGUUGAAAAAUUAGCGGAUGACCUGUGGCUGGGGGUGAAAGGCCAAUCAAACCGGGAGAUAGCUGGUUCUCCCCGAAAGCUAUUUAGGUAGCGCCUCGUGAAUUCAUCUCCGGGGGUAGAGCACUGUUUCGGCUAGGGGGCCAUCCCGGCUUACCAACCCGAUGCAAACUGCGAAUACCGGAGAAUGUUAUCACGGGAGACACACGGCGGGUGCUAACGUCCGUCGUGAAGAGGGAAACAACCCAGACCGCCAGCUAAGGUCCCAAAGUCAUGGUUAAGUGGGAAACGAUGUGGGAAGGCCCAGACAGCCAGGAUGUUGGCUUAGAAGCAGCCAUCAUUUAAAGAAAGCGUAAUAGCUCACUGGUCGAGUCGGCCUGCGCGGAAGAUGUAACGGGGCUAAACCAUGCACCGAAGCUGCGGCAGCGACGCUGAUGCGUUGUUGGGUAGGGGAGCGUUCUGUAAGCCUGUGAAGGUGGCCUGUGAGGGUUGCUGGAGGUAUCAGAAGUGCGAAUGCUGACAUAAGUAACGAUAAAGCGGGUGAAAAGCCCGCUCGCCGGAAGACCAAGGGUUCCUGUCCAACGUUAAUCGGGGCAGGGUGAGUCGACCCCUAAGGCGAGGCCGAAAGGCGUAGUCGAUGGGAAACGGGUUAAUAUUCCCGUACUUGGUGUUACUGCGAAGGGGGGACGGAGAAGGCUAUGUUGGCCGGGCGACGGUUGUCCCGGUUUAAGCGUGUAGGUGUGUGUUCCAGGUAAAUCCGGUUCACUUUAACACUGAGGCGUGAUGACGAGGCACUACGGUGCUGAAGCAACAAAUGCCCUGCUUCCAGGAAAAGCCUCUAAGCAUCAGGUAACAUCAAAUCGUACCCCAAACCGACACAGGUGGUCAGGUAGAGAAUACCAAGGCGCUUGAGAGAACUCGGGUGAAGGAACUAGGCAAAAUGGUGCCGUAACUUCGGGAGAAGGCACGCUGACACGUAGGUGAAGUGAUUUACUCAUGGAGCUGAAGUCAGUCGAAGAUACCAGCUGGCUGCAACUGUUUAUUAAAAACACAGCACUGUGCAAACACGAAAGUGGACGUAUACGGUGUGACGCCUGCCCGGUGCCGGAAGGUUAAUUGAUGGGGUCAGCGCAAGCGAAGCUCCUGAUCGAAGCCCCGGUAAACGGCGGCCGUAACUAUAACGGUCCUAAGGUAGCGAAAUUCCUUGUCGGGUAAGUUCCGACCUGCACGAAUGGCGUAAUGAUGGCCAGGCUGUCUCCACCCGAGACUCAGUGAAAUUGAACUCGCUGUGAAGAUGCAGUGUACCCGCGGCAAGACGGAAAGACCCCGUGAACCUUUACUAUAGCUUGACACUGAACAUUGAGCCUUGAUGUGUAGGAUAGGUGGGAGGCUUUGAAGCGUGGACGCCAGUCUGCAUGGAGCCGGCCUUGAAAUACCACCCUUUAAUGUUUGAUGUUCUAACGUGGACCCGUGAUCCGGGUUGCGGACAGUGUCUGGUGGGUAGUUUGACUGGGGCGGUCUCCUCCUAAAGAGUAACGGAGGAGCACGAAGGUUGGCUAAUCCUGGUCGGACAUCAGGAGGUUAGUGCAAUGGCAUAAGCCAGCUUGACUGCGAGCGUGACGGCGCGAGCAGGUGCGAAAGCAGGUCAUAGUGAUCCGGUGGUUCUGAAUGGAAGGGCCAUCGCUCAACGGAUAAAAGGUACUCCGGGGAUAACAGGCUGAUACCGCCCAAGAGUUCAUAUCGACGGCGGUGUUUGGCACCUCGAUGUCGGCUCAUCACAUCCUGGGGCUGAAGUAGGUCCCAAGGGUAUGGCUGUUCGCCAUUUAAAGUGGUACGCGAGCUGGGUUUAGAACGUCGUGAGACAGUUCGGUCCCUAUCUGCCGUGGGCGCUGGAGAACUGAGGGGGGCUGCUCCUAGUACGAGAGGACCGGAGUGGACGCAUCACUGGUGUUCGGGUUGUCAUGCCAAUGGCACUGCCCGGUAGCUAAAUGCGGAAGAGAUAAGUGCUGAAAGCAUCUAAGCACGAAACUUGCCCCGAGAUGAGUUCUCCCUGAGACUUAGAGUCUCCUGAAGGAACGUUGAAGACGACGACGUUGAUAGGCCGGGUGUGUAAGCGCAGCGAUGCGUUGAGCUAACCGGUACUAAUGAACCGUGAGGCUUAACCUUACAACGCCGAAG